CUCAUAUGACUCAAAAUAUAAUAAUCGUAUAAAAUAAGCAGCAGAAUAAAAUAAGACCAGUGUUUCCGUGAUUGCGUCGUGGGUCAGUCAGGAUGCUGGUGAAAUUGUUUGUUUUCUCGCUAAUGGUGGUUGGGGCCCUGGCUCUGGUGAUACGGUCCCAACAUUUUCUGGAACCCUGCCCUCGCGACACUCUCUACAAUAAACAACUGAAAAUAUGUGUUUUUAAUGAUUAUGGUGAUGAGGAGGCCAAAAUGUUAGACUUUUUGUAUAACUGAAGAUACAUAGCACAUUUAUUUCAAAACUGCGUCAUGGGAAUGAAUAAUCCAAUGUUGUACAAGGACAAAACUUACCAUCAUAUUUAAUAUUACAUUUAAUUAUUAUGUUACCCUGUAUAGUCAAUAAUAUUGAUUGAUUGAUUUUUCAAGUUCUUUAUUAAUAUUAAAUAUGAUUACAAUCAGUGUUUACAAACGAUCUUAUUCUAUUUGUAGACUUACCAUAAUUUAUUUCGUUACACAGGCUGUACCGCCUUUAUAAACAUUAGAACAUAUUGUUAUUAAAUUUUAAUUUUACACUGAUAUUAACUUGAAUAUAGAUAUAAGUAAGUGGUAUGUGAAAGUCUUAGAAUGGACCCACAUAAUAUUUAAAAUAUAUAAGUUACAAAUCGCAAG